UACAGAGGUCCCAAGCGUUGUUCGGAUUCACUGGGCGUAAAGGGUGCGUAGGUGGUUAGGUAAGUCCGAUGUGAAAUCUCCAGGCUCAACCUGGAAAUGGCAUUGGAUACUAUCUAGCUUGAGGAGUGGAGGGGGGACUGGAAUUCUCGGUGUAGCAGUGAAAUGCGUAGAUAUCGAGAGGAACACCAGUGGCGAAGGCGGCAUCCUGGACCGGCAUUGACGCUGAGGAGCGAAAGCCAGGGGAGCAAACGGG
rnacentral:rRNA from 1 species